AUUGAACGCUGGCGGCAUGCUUUACACAUGCAAGUCGAACGGCAGCGCGGGCUUCGGCCUGGCGGCGAGUGGCGAACGGGUGAGUAAUGCAUCGGAACGUGCCCAGUAGUGGGGGAUAGCCCAGCGAAAGCCGGAUUAAUACCGCAUACGACCUGAGGGUGAAAGCGGGGGACCGAAGGGCCUCGCGCUAUUGGAGCGGCCGAUGUCGGAUUAGCUAGUUGGUGGGGUAAAGGCUUACCAAGGCGACGAUCCGUAGCUGGUCUGAGAGGACGACCAGCCACACUGGGACUGAGACACGGCCCAGACUCCUACGGGAGGCAGCAGUGGGGAAUUUUGGACAAUGGGGGCAACCCUGAUCCAGCCAUGCCGCGUGCGGGAAGAAGGCCUUCGGGUUGUAAACCGCUUUUGUUCGGGAAGAAAUCCUCUGGGCUAAUACCCCGGGGGGAUGACGGUACCGGAAGAAUAAGCACCGGCUAACUACGUG
rnacentral:rRNA from 1 species